AUUUAUAUAAUAUAAAAAUUAUAUUUGACUUCCAAUCAAAAAAUCUAUGCUCUUAGUAUAAAUA
rnacentral:tRNA from 1 species